AAAUGAAUUGACGGGGACCCGCACAAGCGGUGGAGCAUGUGGUUUAAUUCGAAGCAACGCGAAGAACCUUACCAGGUCUUGACAUCCUUUGACCACUUCAGAGAUGAAGCUUUCCCUUCGGGGACAAAGUGACAGGUGGUGCAUGGUUGUCGUCAGCUCGUGUCGUGAGAUGUUGGGUUAAGUCCCGCAACGAGCGCAACCCUUAUUACUAGUUGCCAGCAUUCAGUUGGGCACUCUAGUGAGACUGCCGGUGACAAACCGGAGGAAGGUGGGGAUGACGUCAAAUCAUCAUGCCCCUUAUGACCUGGGCUACACACGUGCUACAAUGGCAAGUACAACGAGCAGCUAACCCGCGAGGGUACGCGAAUCUCUUAAAACUUGUCUCAGUUCGGAUUGUAGGCUGCAACUCGCCUACAUGAAGUCGGAAUCGCUAGUAAUCGCGGAUCAGCACGCCGCGGUGAAUACGUUCCCGGGUCUUGUACACACCGCCCGU
rnacentral:rRNA from 1 species